UCCUACGGGAGGCAGCAGUAGGGAAUAUUGCGCAAUGGGGGAAACCCUGACGCAGCAACGCCGCGUGGAGGAUGACACUUUUCGGAGCGUAAACUCCUUUCUUAGGGAAGAAUUCUGACGGUACCUAAGGAAUAAGCACCGGCUAACUCCGUGCCAGCAGCCGCGGUAAUACGGAGGGUGCAAGCGUUACUCGGAAUCACUGGGCGUAAAGGGCGCGUAGGCGGAUUAUCAAGUCUCUUGUGAAAUCUAAUGGCUUAACCAUUAAACUGCUUGGGAAACUGAUAGUCUAGAGUGAGGGAGAGGCAGAUGGAAUUGGUGGUGUAGGGGUAAAAUCCGUAGAUAUCACCAAGAAUACCCAUUGCGAAGGCGAUCUGCUGGAACUCAACUGACGCUAAGGCGCGAAAGCGUGGGGAGCAAACAGGAUUAGAUACCCUGGUAGUCCACGCCCUAAACGUUGUACACUAGUUGUUGGGGUGCUAGUCAUCUCAGUAAUGCAGCUAACGCAUUAAGUGUACCGCCUGGGGAGUACGGUCGCAAGAUUAAAACUCAAAGGAAUAGACGGGGACCCGCACAACGCGGUGGAGCAUGUGGUUUAAUUCGAAGAUACGCGAAGAACCUUACCUGGGCUUGAUAUCCUAAGAACCUUUUAGAGAUAAGAGGGUGCUAGCUUGCUAGAACUUAGAGACAGGUGCUGCACGGCUGUCGUCAGCUCGUGUCGUGAGAUGUUGGGUUAAGUCCCGCAACGAGCGCAACCCACGUAUUUAGUUGCUAACGGUUCGGCCGAGCACUCUAAAUAGACUGCCUUCGUAAGGAGGAGGAAGGUGUGGACGACGUCAAGUCAUCAUGGCCCUUAUGCCCAGGGCGACACACGUGCUACAAUGGCAUAUACAAUGAGACGCAAUACCGCGAGGUGGAGCAAAUCUAUAAAAUAUGUCCCAGUUCGGAUUGUUCUCUGCAACUCGAGAGCAUGAAGCCGGAUUCGCUAGUAAUCGUAGAUCAGCCAUGCUACGGUGAAUACGUUCCCGGGUCUUGUACUCACCGCCCGUCACACCAUGGGAGUUGAUUUCACUCGAAGCCGGAAUACUAAACUAGUUACCGUCCACAG
rnacentral:rRNA from 1 species